rnacentral:rRNA from 1 species
GGCAGACCACCGGUAGGCUCGUCCUAGAGAAGCGACACGUCCAUCACUGGACCUAGAACCGGUUCAGAACCUUACGGUUGCAGCAGUCGAGAAUCUUUCCCAUUUGAGGCAAACCUGAUGAGGGACCCCGGCUGGAGGAUAAGUCUCGGAAUGUAACUCCUGUUCAUGUGUGAACAAGUGCAGGGAAUAAUUACCUUGCAAAUUGAUGGUACCACAGAGGAAGAAAACGCCUAACUCUGUGCCAGCAGCCGCGGUAAUACAGAGGUCCCAAGCGUUGUUCGGAAUCACUGGGCGUAAAGGGUGCGUAGGUGGCGUGGUAAGUCAGAUGUGAAAGCCCGGGGCUCAACCUCGGAACAGCAUCCGAUACUGCCGUGCUAGAGUACUGAAGAGGUGACUAGAAUUCUCGGUGUAGCAGUGAAAUGCGUAGAUAUCGAGAGGAAUACCAAAGGCGAAGGCAGGUCACUGGGCAGUUACUGACACUGAGGCACGAAGGCCAGGGGAGCAAACGGGAUUAGAUACCCCGGUAGUCCUGGCAGUAAACGGUGCACGUUUGGUGUGGGCGCAAUCGACCGCGUCCGCGCCGGAGCUAACGCGUUAAACGUGCCGCCUGGGAAGUACGGUCGCAAGAUUAAAACUCAAAGAAAUUGACGGGGACCCGCACAAGCGGUGGAGUAUGUGGCUUAAUUCGAUGCAACGCGAAGAACCUUACCUGGUCUUGACAUGCAUUGUGUCUCCGGUGAAAGCCGGAUAGGGUAGCAAUACCCGCUUUGCACAGGUGCUGCAUGGCUGUCGUCAGCUCGUGUCGUGAGAUGUUGGGUUAAGUCCCGCAACGAGCGCAACCCCUGUGAUUUGUUGCCACCGGCGUAUGCCGAGCACUCGAAUCAGACUGCCUCGAUCAACGAGGAGGAAGGUGGGGAUGACGUCAAGUCCGUAUGGCCCUUACGACCAGGGCUGCACACGUACUACAAUGCCCAGCACAAUGUGAACCGAUACCGCGAGGUGGAGGAAAUCAGCAAAACUGGGCUCAGUUCAGAUUGGAGUCUGCAACUCGACUCCAUGAAGUUGGAAUCGCUAGUAAUGGUACAUCAGCUACGGUACCGUGAAUACGUUCCCGGGUCUUGUACACACCGCCCGUCACAUCAUGGAAGCUGGUUUCGCCCGAAGUGCGUGCGCCAACCGCAAGGAGGCAGCGCCCUAAGGCAAGACUGGUGACUGGGAUGAAGUCGUAACAAGGUAACCA